rnacentral:rRNA from 1 species
AGCGAGCGCUGGCGGCAGGCUUAACACAUGCAAGUCGAGCGGGCACCUUCGGGUGUCAGCGGCAGACGGGUGAGUAACACGUGGGAACGUACCCUUCGGUUCGGAAUAACGCUGGGAAACUAGCGCUAAUACCGGAUACGCCCUUAUGGGGAAAGGUUUACUGCCGAAGGAUCGGCCCGCGUCUGAUUAGCUAGUUGGUGGGGUAACGGCCUACCAAGGCGACGAUCAGUAGCUGGUCUGAGAGGAUGAUCAGCCACACUGGGACUGAGACACGGCCCAGACUCCUACGGGAGGCAGCAGUGGGGAAUAUUGGACAAUGGGCGCAAGCCUGAUCCAGCCAUGCCGCGUGAGUGAUGAAGGCCUUAGGGUUGUAAAGCUCUUUUGUCCGGGACGAUAAUGACGGUACCGGAAGAAUAAGCCCCGGCUAACUUCGUG